rnacentral:rRNA from 1 species
GAUGAACGCUGACAGAAUGCUUAACACAUGCAAGUCAACUGUGGCGGACGGGUGAGUAACGCGUAAAGAACUUGCCUCACAGUUAGGGACAACAUUUGGAAACGAAUGCUACUACCUGCUACUGUGAGAGAGCUUUGCGUCCACUUAGCUAGUUGGAGAGGUAACGGCUCACCAAGGCGAUGAUGGGUAGCCGGCCGUAGAGGGUGAUCGGCCACAAGGGGACUGAGACACGGCGCUGACUCCUACGGGAGGCAGCAGUCGGGAAUAUUGGACAAUGGACCAAUGUCUGAUCCAGCAAUUCUGUGUGCACGAUGAAGUUUUCGGAAUGUAAAGUGCUUUCAGUUGGGAAGCGGUACCAACAGAAGAAGUGACGGCUAAAUACGUGCCAGCAGCCGCGGUAAUAC